AGAAACAUAUGCGAAUUGACCUUCCGAGUUGUGAAGAACUCUCUCGCCAGAUUUGCAAAUGGAAAAAAUCCAGUGCAGACUACAGAAAAGAGCAUGUCCCCAUGACCUCCGUGGCUUCGUCGCCGCCGCCAGCCGAUGCAUCAACAAGCGGCACAUACCUCCCCUUUGCGUAUACAUGCAGUCAUCGGUCGUCGUGAAAUUUCAUAUGUUCUGGAAACUAUCUAACAGAAAGGUACCAUCAGAUCAGAUGCAAAUUGACCUUCCAAUCUGUGAAGAACUCUCUGGCCAGAUUUGCCAAUGGAAAAAGUCCAGUGCAGACUACAGGAAACAACAUGUCUCCAUGGCCUCCGUGGCUUCACCGCUGCCGCCAACCGAUGCAUCAACAAGCGGCACGUACCUCCGCUUUGCCUAUACAUGCAGUCAUCGGUUGUUUUGAAAUUUCAUCUGUUCUGGAAAUUAUCUAACAGAAAGGUACCAUCAGAUCAAGUAUGGUCGACUCUCCUAAUCGUGCAUCUCUCCAACCUCUAAAUUUCACUUGCCAAGUUCAAUCUACUCAAGCAUGCAUGUCGGGCUCUCCCGAAGUCUUGAUCGAGUUCAUGUUCAACCUUUCAGUCUCAGUUUCCAUGUGCUAAUAUGUGAUAACACAUAUACUCCAUAAUGGUUGAUUUUGCAGAAAUGGGAAUAUGGCCCGUUCAAAGCACAGCGGGUGCUUAGAUCCAGUGGUCAUUGCGCCUGCAUGUCCACCUUCUCCUAGAAAGAUGACGCCAAGUAUCACCCAUCAGCCAGUCUUUUAAACCUGUGUAUGUAUAUGCAAACUUUUUUACAUCAGCCAGAUUUGUUCCCUCAAAUUAUCUGGCCGAUUAUUUACGUGAGGCCCUAGAAAACGAGCUGGUGAGAGCCAAGGGCUCCACAAGUUAGAAGUAGUGUUCUCAGUCACUUUCAUUGUUAGGUGAAAUAACCUGUGUACUUUGUUUAUUCAUUUUCAAAGAUUUAUCAACCUGGUGCAAAGUUUAGCUAGGCUAUGCAAAAUUGGGUUGCCAUAAAUAACUAAAGAGCAUGCAUAUUAUAUUAAGCACUAUAUCUUCUGUGUGGAAUAUUUAGAAUUUUAUUAUCCAAUAGGAUUAGAUAGGAAAACAGUGGAACUGGAGCCAUUCAAUCUAACAUGCAGGCAUGCAUAUAUAUAUCGAUAUGUCUCAAAGCAUGAAGGUCAGUUCACAUGUUGAGUCGUUCAUGAAGAUUUCAUUCCGAAUCUGGAGAACCUACGUCUAUACGCUGGACUAACUAAGUAGGCUGAAGAUUAUUAUUACGGCUCAAAGCAUCGAGGUCUUUUCACAGUUUGAGUCGUCCAUGAUAUAUUUUUUGGAAUAUGGAGAACCCGUUAGCAUAUAUACUACACUCUUAAAUAAGAACUGUCCAGUUCUCUUCAUAUGAAACGUGAGCCUCUACUUCUGAAUGUAUGGAUUUAAUUUAUUUCGCUAAUGUUGGCGUUGUACCUGUGAUUAUGGUGGCCUAUGGUUGCAAACUUGCUGAGAAAGCAUUGUCAACAAUAUAAUGAAGGUGUUUAAUUAUAGUCCCAUACAACCUCUAAUUCUUUCUUAAUACCAGCAAUGACAAAUUUAUCAAAAAACUACUAAUUAUUUCUCCAUGUAUAUCUCAUGAUUACAUCCACACGUUAUAUCUACAAAAUUUGCGUACGUGUGUUCCCUUCAUAAUGAUAUUUUUCUUCUUAUUAUUAGCAGGUGCAUGUUCCUUCAGCAGGUGAUUGUUUUAACGGGCAAAAAACUAACAGCGUCCAGAGACAUACUUAUAUGCACACAUCAGUUUUUGUAUGAUAAGUUGAUAACUUGAUGGAGACUUAUGUUUGUUGCACUUUUGUAUUAUUCAAAUGAAACAUAAAAAAUAUUAUGAUUAUAUGUUUAUGUAACCUCAAAUAGCUAGCCCGUGCAUGUGCACGGGUUGACGACUAGUAUAUAUAAUUUUUGGCCUCGUGAAGGAGAAAGUAUCGCUCAAUCUUGGGGGAGGCUUAAGUCAAUGUUAUAUUCAUGCCCCA